ACCAAUCCUCCUUUCCAGAAAUCAUUGCUAUUUAAACUUCAGCUAUAGAAGUUACACCGAGUUACAUCGUCAGUAGCCCAAUAACAAAUUCAACAUGACCACAAUCGCUAGUGUACUCGUUGUGCUCGUAGCCUGCGUGCUAGGGUUUAGCCACGCUAGUUACCCUCCACCUGGACUUUACAAUACUUACGGUUAUAUUCCGUUAAGUUAUGGUGCACAUGGUAUUCCGUACGCGUACGGGAUUAAUUAUGGAAAAGACUACGGGUAUAGUUUAGGACAUGCUAGCCCAGGAUAUGGGCACGCUUAUUACAAGAAGUAGUAUCUUGAAGUAUCAAGAAGUAGAGAAGAUGCUACUAACGAUGAUUGACCACGAGGAUUUACCCUAAUAAGAACGCUUCAGGGACUCUGAUUAAGUUUCGGAUUUAUCAUAACAGAAAUAAACAACAAGGAAUGUAUAGUCAGGUGUGCUACGGUGGGGAUAAAUGUUUAAUUCUAGACCAAAAUAUUCCACUUUGAUCGGAGACACUUGUUAUUUAUUAAGCCAUUAUUUUAAACAUAAUAGAGCUCAUACCAUGAAAGUGUGCCGUCCUACAUAGGUUGUCAUUGGUACAAUUUAUCCUACCUAUAAAACAUACAGCUAAAUACGCACAGCAGUGCAGAUAAAGGUAUCCUUUUUAAUACGCUUUAAUGGUCAUUUUUAUUCAGAGCGAAAUUCUGUCUAUUUGUUUCACUGUAAUAUCUUUCGGGUUACAUAAAGAACAAUACAAAAGCUCAUUAUUUAAGAAGA